CUACGGGGUGCAGCAGUCGAGAAUCUUCCCCAAUGCACGAAAGUGUGAGGGAGCGACGCCGCGUGAUUGAAGACGCCCUUCGGGGUGUAAAAAUCUUUUCUAUGGGACGAACUAAUGACGGUACCAUAGGAAUAAGGGGCUGCUAAACUCGUGCCAGCAGCAGCGGUAAUACGAGUGCCCCAAGCGUUGUCCGGAUUUAUUGGGCGUAAAGGGUUCGUAGGCGGUUUGAUAAGUCAGAGGUAAAAUCUCCUCGCUCAACGAGGAACCUGCCUUUGAAACUGUUAAACUAGAGGGUGGUAGAGGCAAGCGGAAUUGCCGGUGUAGGGGUAAAAUCCGAUGAUAUCGGCAGGAACAACAAAUGCGAAGGCAGCUUGCUAGCACACUCCUGACGCUAAUGAACGAAAGCGUGGGUAGCGAAUGGGAUUAGAUACCCGUGUAGUC
rnacentral:rRNA from 1 species